rnacentral:rRNA from 1 species
GAUGAACGCUAGCGGCAGGCCUAAUACAUGCAAGUCGAACGGGAUCCAGAUCAAAGCUUGCUUUGGUUUGGUGAGAGUGGCGCACGGGUGCGUAACGCGUGAGCAACCUACCCUUGUCAGGGGGAUAGCCCGGCGAAAGUCGGAUUAAUACCGCAUGACAUCAUUGAGAGGCAUCUUUCGAUGAUCAAAGAUUUAUCGGACAAGGAUGGGCUCGCGUGACAUUAGCUAGUUGGUAAGGUAACGGCUUACCAAGGCUACGAUGUCUAGGGGCUCUGAGAGGAGAAUCCCCCACACUGGUACUGAGACACGGACCAGACUCCUACGGGAGGAAGCAGUAAGGAAUAUUGGUCAAUGGACGGAAGUCUGAACCAGCCAUGCCGCGUGCAGGAAGACGGCCCUAUGGGUUGUAAACUGCUUUUAUACGGGAACAAACGUCGGUACGUGUACCGGUCUGAGUGUACCGUAAGAAUAAGGAUCGGCUAACUCCGUG